rnacentral:rRNA from 1 species
UACGAAAGGGGCUAGCGUUGCUCGGAAUUACUGGGCGUAAAGCGCACGUAGGCGGCCAUGUAAGUUGGGGGUGAAAUCCCGGGGCUCAACCCCGGAACUGCCUUCAAAACUACAUAGCUAGAGGAUGUGAGAGGAUAGUGGAAUUCCGAGUGUAGAGGUGAAAUUCGUAGAUAUUCGGAAGAACACCGGUGGCGAAGGCGACUGUCGGGCACAUUUCUGACGCUGAGGUGCGAAAGCGUGGGGAGCAAACAGG